GGGAUAUUGGACAAUGGGCGCAAGCCUGAUCCAGCCAUGCCGCGUGAGUGAUGAAGGCCCUAGGGUUGUAAAGCUCUUUCACCGGUGAAGAUAAUGACGGUAACCGGAGAAGAAGCCACGGCUCACUUCGUCACAGCAGCCGCGGUAAUACGAAGGGGGCUAGCGUUGUUCGGAAUUACUGGGCGUAACGCGCACGUAGGCGGAUCGUUAAGUGAGGGGUGAAAUCCCAGGGCUCAACCCUGGAACUGCCUUUCAUACUGGCGAUCUUGAGUUCGAGAGAGGUGAGUGGAAUUCCGAGUGUAGAGGUGAAAUUCGUAGAUAUUCGGAGGAACACCAGUGGCGAAGGCUGCUCACUGGCUCGAUACUGACGCUGAGGUGCGAAAGCGUGGGGAGCAAAC
rnacentral:rRNA from 1 species